rnacentral:rRNA from 1 species
AUGGGUUGUGGUUAUGUUGUCAUAUCAAUCUUUUUGUGCUUUUCGUUCACGCCUUACUGCAUCACUUUGGCUAAAUCAACAGAUGUAGGUGGCAAUUUACAAAUGAAUAAGAAGAACACCACUCUUUUCAGGCAUAUGCCUUUUCCGUUUGUCAAAAAUCAAGAUGGAGGAGGCAAUAUUAUUUCUCAUUAUGCUAUGUGGCGCACUAGACCAGGAGGAUUCUAUGGCCUUCGAGCUGAAAUUAGUAUAUGGGGUUCACCAAAUCAAGAAUACUCUCAAGACUCCGGAGCAUCCAUACAAAUUUAUUGUCAAGAUGGAGGACACUACAACUUAAUUGAAGCCGGGUUUCAUGUAUCCCCUUCUUUGUAUCAUAAUAGAGAUGUCCGUUUCUUCACAUAUUGGACGAAGGACUUUAAAUCAGCGGGCUGCUACAACUUGCGGUGCAAAGGAUUUGUUCCUGCAAGUGGAGCUGCACUAGUGCCUGGGCAAGCAGUUACUCCCCCAUCAAGUUAUGGCGAGUAUGACCACUACGUUAGGCUUAGUCCUAAUAAGGAUCCCAAAUCCGAAGAUUGGGUGGUGUACCGUCACGAUUUGCAAACCCCGUCGUUCUUGGGUUAUUUUCCAGUGCAACUUUGUUCUGGAACACCGCGUAUAGAAGCAUUGACUGGAUUUGUCAAUUACUUAAAAAGUACUCAUGGUCCUCCAAUGGGUAGUGGUCACUUUCCUGAUGAGAAGGAUGAUGACAAGACAACAGCGUACUUCAGGCAUGUUAAGAACUACGACUCCAAAGGUCGCGCUUUCGAACCAGUUACAGUUAAUAUGACCCCUUUAGUUGACAAGCCGGAUUGUUACACGGAAACUGAUUUCCUUCCUGGUAUCAACAAGGGGUACCAUUUUCACUAUGGUGGACCAAGUGGUUGUGUUGGUUGA